rnacentral:ncRNA from 1 species
GGAAAACAAGGGUAAACUGCUCGAAAGAGUAGGGCGCAAAGCCAUGAGCCUAAAUCCUUAAAGUAAAGUGUAAGGACACGGUCGUCAGGUUGCCAUC